GCAAGUCGAGCGGAAACGAGUUAACUGACCCUUCGGGGAAAGUUAACGGCGUCGAGCGGCGGACGGGUGAGUAAUGCCUAGGAAAUUGCCCUGAUGUGGGGGAUAACCAUUGGAAACGAUGGCUAAUACCGCAUGAUGCCUUCGGGCCAAAGAGGGGGACCUUCGGGCCUCUCGCGUCAGGAUAUGCCUAGGUGGGAUUAGCUAGUUGGUGAGGUAAGGGCUCACCAAGGCGACGAUCCCUAGCUGGUCUGAGAGGAUGAUCAGCCACACUGGAACUGAGACACGGUCCAGACUCCUACGGGAGGCAGCAGUGGGGAAUAUUGCACAAUGGGCGCAAGCCUGAUGCAGCCAUGCCGCGUGUAUGAAGAAGGCCUUCGGGUUGUAAAGUACUUUCAGCAGUGAGGAAGGGGUGUGUGUUAAUAGCGCACAUCUUUGACGUUAGCUGC
rnacentral:rRNA from 1 species